GCCGACGCCGCCGAAGCCGCCGAAGCCACCGGAGCCAUCGGCGCCGCCAGCGCCGCGCGGGAGACGCUGGAGGAGGUGAGCACCCAGCUGAGGCUCCUGGCCGCCGCCGUCGCCCGGGACCUGCAGGCCGACCGAGGGUUCCCCGGCAGCGCCCGCGCGCUCGGCAACGCCGUGACGGCGCUGGGGACGGUGCUGAAGGACCAGGAGGGGACGCAGAGGUUGGCCCGAGCGCUGCAGGGGCUGAGCGGGGACGAGUAGGGGGGCGGUGGGGGGCUCCGUGUCCUGGGGGCGACGCCAUAUGGGACAGACGGGGGCACCAGGAGGGUUUUCCAUGUCCUGGGGGCAGCCCCAUGUCCCAUAUGGGGGCACCAGGGGGGUCUUCCAUGUCCUGGGGGCAACACCAUAUCCCAUAUGGGGGCACAUGGGGGGUCCUCCGUGUCCUGGGGAUGCCCUGAUGUCCCAUAUGGGGACACUGGGAGGGUCUUCCAUGUCCUGAGGGCAACCCCAUGUCCCAUAUGGGGACACCAGGGGGGUCCUCCGUGUCCUGGGGAUGCCCUGAUGUCCCAUAUGGGGACACUGGGAGGGUCUUCCAUGUCCUGGGGGCAACCCCAUGUCCCCAUAUGGGGGCACAUGGGGGGUCCUCCGUGUCCUGGGGAUGCCCUGAUGUCCCAUAUGGGGGCACAUGGGGGUCCUCCGUGUCCUGGGGAUGCCCUGAUGUCCCAUAUGGGGGCACAUGGGGGGUCCUCCAAGACUUGGGGAUGCCCUGAUGUCCCAUAUGGGGACACCGGGGGGGUCUUCCAUGUCCUGGGGGCAGCCCCAUGUCCCAUAUGGGGGCACCAGGAGGGUCUUCCAUGUCCUGGGGGCAACCCCAUGUCCCAUAUGGGGACACCAGGGGGGUCCUCCGUGUCCUGGGGAUGCCCUGAUGUCCCAUAUGGGAACACUGGGAGGGUCUCCCAUGUCCUGGGGGCAACAUCAUAUAGGGACAGAGAGGGGCACAUGGGGGGUCCUCCAUGCCUUAGGAACAUUCCCACACCCCAUAUGGGGGCACAUGGGGGGUCCUCCAUGCCUCAGGGACCCCCUGAUGUCCCCACGUCCCAUAUGGGGUACAUGGGGGGUCCUCCAUGCCUCAGGGACCCCCUGAUGUCCCCACACCCCAUAUGGGGGCACAUGGGGGGUCCUCCAUGCCUCAGGGACCCCCUGAUGUCCCCACGUCCCAUAUGGGGUACACGGGGGGUCCUCCACGGGCUCACCCUGACGUCCCAUUGGGACAAUGCGGAGCUGUGGGGACGCGCGGACCCGCGCACGUCGGGGCCGAUUGGGCGUCAGCGCCCCCCCGCCCCCAAUAAACUUCUAGCUGAUUGCUUCACGUUUGUCACUCAAAAAGGGGACAUUUUGGGGUCGAUUCGGAGCCCCCCGCGCCGCCCCGCCGCCCCGCCGCCGCCAUUUUCUCUCAGCGCCCACGCUCACCCUUGACCCCGACCUUCCGGCUCUGAUUGGCUAUCCGCGAUGCCACUCCUCGCCAACACCACUUCCCACUGGCCAGAGGGGAGGCGGGACCGCCGCGCUGGGGCGUUCCAUUGGAUGUUUCUUUCCCGCCCGCAAGGCUGGGGGCGGGCUUUUCGGCCCGCUCCGCGCGCUGAUUGGUUGAGCCGCUGCGGGCGGGAAGAGGGGCUGUGGGGGCGCGUUCCCGGCGUGCACCGCGCGGCUCCCAGCAGGUGCCACCAAUGGCUGAGGGUCCCCCGGAGCCACCGGGUACUGGUCUGCAGGGCCUCAUCCCCCCAUCACACUUCACGCUCCGUCCCCCUGCCCCCAGCACCAGCAGGAUGCUGGAGGUGGAGAGGAGGCGGAGCCAAGCUCUGGGCGCGGAGCUUGAGGCAGAGAGGAGGCGGAGCCACAUGCUGGGGGUGGAGCUUGAGGCAGAGAGGAGGCGGAGCCACAGCCUGGAGGCAGAGCUUGAGGCAGAGAAGAGGCGGAGCCACAGCCUGGAGGUGGAGCUUGAGGUGGAGAGGAGGCGGAGCCUACGGUUGGGGGAGGAGCUUGAAGCUGAAAGGAGGCGGGGCCAAGCCAAGGGGGCGGGGCCUGAUGGAGAGAAGCCCUCAGAGGAGACCCCAUUGCUGCUCCGUGCGCAGCUCAGCGCUCUCAGCCACAUCCUGACCCUGCAGGAGCGCGAGCUGAACCGGGAGCUGCCCCCCCCCCGGCUGCAGGCGCUGCUGGGGCGAUGGCGGCAGAAGGUCUUCGCCCUCCUGGUGCAGCUGCGGGUGCAGGAUGAGAGCCAGCAGGUGCAGCGCCUGGCACAGGAGGUGACACGGGAGCGGGGCCGGGCGGAGGCGGCUGAACAGGCACUGAGGGGGCUGUCCCAUGCGGCCACCAGGUUGGCUGUGGUGGUGACACGCUGUGAGGAUGAGGUGAUGGCGGCCAUCGGGGCCAUGGCUGCACUCAGCGACCGCCUGCACCGCGCCGGGCAGCGGCUGAGGGUCCUGCAGGGGCUGGUGGCCCCGGAUCGGCCGCGGUGGCAGCGGGAGGCAGCGGGUGAGACGGCCGCGGUGACACGAGGAACCCAUCGGCUCACAGGGAUGGGGGCUGAGCUGCAGCAUGGCGUGUCCCCACCGUGUCCAGUUGUUGUCACCUCCACCGCAGGGGUGGCCCCGGAGCGGGUGACGGAGGAUGGGGUGACACAGGAUGGGAUAGACAAUGAGGUCACUUCCCACGGGGACAGCGCAGGCCCUGCCCACAGCAGAGUGGCGCUGUGCUCCCUGGUGGCUGAGCUGCAGGCGAUGGGCGCUGCCAUCCUUGGGGACCCCCCCUGACCCCCCCGGCGCGGUGUCCCGGUGAGUGUCCCCUCGUGCCACCCCCCCCCAGUGACAGUGACAGCAGCCCGGCCGCACAGCGCUUCCUUUGGGUUUAUUUUACGCAUUUUCCCCUUUUGGGGGCCCAAUAAAGUUGGUGGUGUGAUAUCGUUGGUGGCACCGCGUCCCUGGGGGGGGGGCGGGGGGUGGGAGAGUCCUCGGGGUCUGAGCGGGCGUGGGGGGUCCCCAAGGAUGGGAGGGGAUAUUGGGGUAACCACGGGGUCAUGAGGGGACGUUGGCGUCCCCAGGAGGUGGCACUGGGACUUCCACAGGGACAGGAGGGGACAUUGGGGUUCCCAUGGGGACAUGAGGGGACGCUGGGGUCUGUAGGUGACAUGGGCCCCAUAUCCCCCAACCCCCCCAUAUCCCCCAACCCCCCCAUGUCCCCCUACACUCCUAUCUCCAUCCCUCUUCCUAUUCCUCCCGUCCCACCUUAUCCCCCUCCCCACCCUCCUAUCCCCCCCAUAUCCCUCCACAGCCCCAACCCCCCCACAUCCCUCUAUGCCCUCCAUGUCCCCCCUUACCCCAUCUCCCCCACAUCCCUCCACUCCCUCCAUAUCCUCCUAUCCCCCCCAAGUCUAUCUUCCCCUAUUCUCCUAUCCCCACAUACCC
ensembl:lncRNA